rnacentral:rRNA from 1 species
UGAAUACAUAGGGUAAGGAGGCGAACCGGGGGAACUGAAACAUCUAAGUACCCCGAGGAAAAGAAAUCAACCGAGAUUCCGAAAGUAGCGGCGAGCGAAAUUGGACUAGCCCUUAAGCUUUACACGCGUUAGACGAACGGUCUGGAAAGUCCGACGAUACAGGGUGAUAGUCCCGUAGUUGACGACGUGUGUUCAGUGAAAUCGAGUAGGGCGGGACACGUGAUAUCCUGUCUGAAUAUGGGGGGACCAUCCUCCAAGGCUAAAUACUACUGACUGACCGAUAGUGAACCAGUACCGUGAGGGAAAGGCGAAAAGAACCCCUGUGAGGGGAGUGAAAUAGAACCUGAAACCGUGUACGUACAAGCAGUAGGAGCAGGCUUUGUCCUGUGACUGCGUACCUUUUGUAUAAUGGGUCAGCGACUUAUAUUCAGUGGCAAGGUUAACCAUCUAGGGGAGCCGUAGGGAAACCGAGUCUUAACUGGGCGUUCAGUCUCUGGAUAUAGACCCGAAACCAGGUGAUCUAGCCAUGGGCAGGUUGAAGGUUGAGUAACAUCAACUGGAGGACCGAACCGACUAAUGUUGAAAAAUUAGCGGAUGACUUGUGGCUAGGGGUGAAAGGCCAAUCAAACCUGGAGAUAGCUGGUUCUCCCCGAAAGCUAUUUAGGUAGCGCCUCGGACGAAUACUACUGGGGGUAGAGCACUGUUAAGGCUAGGGGGUCAUCCCGACUUACCAACCCUUUGCAAACUCCGAAUACCAGUAAGUACUAUCCGGGAGACACACGGCGGGUGCUAACGUCCGUCGUGGAGAGGGAAACAACCCAGACCGCCAGCUAAGGUCCCAAAUUACUACUAAGUGGGAAACGAUGUGGGAAGGCUCAGACAGCCAGGAUGUUGGCUUAGAAGCAGCCAUCAUUUAAAGAAAGCGUAAUAGCUCACUGGUCGAGUCGGCCUGCGCGGAAGAUGUAACGGGGCUAAGUAGUAAACCGAAGCUGCGGCAAUGUGCUUUUGCACAUUGGGUAGGGGAGCGUUCUGUAAGCGGUUGAAGGUGUGUGGUAACGCAUGCUGGACGUAUCAGAAGUGCGAAUGCUGACAUGAGUAACGAUAAAGGGGGUGAAAAACCUCCUCGCCGGAAGACCAAGGGUUCCUGUCCAACGUUAAUCGGGGCAGGGUAAGUCGACCCCUAAGGCGAGGCCGAAAGGCGUAGUCGAUGGGAAACGGGUUAAUAUUCCCGUACUUCUUACAAUUGCGAUGGGGGGACGGAGAAGGCUAGGUGGGCCUGGCGACGGUUGUCCAGGUUCAAGUGCGUAGGCUUAAGAGUUAGGUAAAUCCGGCUCUUUUUAAGGCUGAGACACGACGUCGAGCAUCUACGGAUGUGAAGUCAUUGAUGCCAUGCUUCCAGGAAAAGCCUCUAAGCUUCAGAUUGUAAGGAAUCGUACCCCAAACCGACACAGGUGGUCGGGUAGAGAAUACCAAGGCGCUUGAGAGAACUCGGGUGAAGGAACUAGGCAAAAUGGUACCGUAACUUCGGGAGAAGGUACGCUCUCGACGGUGAAGUCCCUCGCGGAUGGAGCUAUUGAGAGUCGCAGAUACCAGGUGGCUGCAACUGUUUAUUAAAAAACACAGCACUGUGCAAAAUCGUAAGAUGACGUAUACGGUGUGACGCCUGCCCGGUGCCGGAAGGUUAAUUGAUGGGGUUAGACUUCGGUCGAAGCUCUUGAUCGAAGCCCCGGUAAACGGCGGCCGUAACUAUAACGGUCCUAAGGUAGCGAAAUUCCUUGUCGGGUAAGUUCCGACCUGCACGAAUGGCGUAAUGAUGGCCACGCUGUCUCCACCCGAGACUCAGUGAAAUUGAAAUCGCUGUGAAGAUGCAGUGUACCCGCGGCUAGACGGAAAGACCCCGUGAACCUUUACUACAGCUUGGCACUGAACAUUGACCCUACAUGUGUAGGAUAGGUGGGAGGCUUUGAAGCACGUACGCCAGUAUGUGUGGAGCCGUCCUUGAAAUACCACCCUUGUAGUGUUGAUGUUCUAACGUCGACCCCUUAUCGGGGUUGCGGACAGUGCCUGGUGGGUAGUUUGACUGGGGCGGUCUCCUCCCAAAGAGUAACGGAGGAGCACGAAGGUGGGCUAAUCACGGUUGGACAUCGUGAGGUUAGUGCAAUGGCAUAAGCCCGCUUGACUGCGAGAAUGACAAUUCGAGCAGGUGCGAAAGCAGGUCAUAGUGAUCCGGUGGUUCUGAAUGGAAGGGCCAUCGCUCAACGGAUAAAAGGUACUCCGGGGAUAACAGGCUGAUACCGCCCAAGAGUUCAUAUCGACGGCGGUGUUUGGCACCUCGAUGUCGGCUCAUCACAUCCUGGGGCUGAAGUCGGUCCCAAGGGUAUGGCUGUUCGCCAUUUAAAGUGGUACGCGAGCUGGGUUUAGAACGUCGUGAGACAGUUCGGUCCCUAUCUGCCGUGGGCGUUGGAAGAUUGAAGGGGGCUGCUCCUAGUACGAGAGGACCGGAGUGGACGAACCUCUGGUGUUCGGGUUGUGUCGCCAGACGCAUUGCCCGGUACGCUAAGUUCGGAAUCGAUAACCGCUGAAAGCAUCUAAGCGGGAAGCGAGCCCUGAGAUGAGUCUUCCCUGAUACUUUAAGUAUCCUAAAGGGUUGUCGGAGACUACGACGUUGAUAGGUCAGGUGUGUAAGUGCUGUGAGGCAUUGAGCUAACUGAUACUAAUUGCCCGUGAGGCUUAACCAUACAACACCCAAGGGGUUU